GACGAACGCUGGCGGCGUGCUUAACACAUGCAAGUCGAACGGAAAUGCCCUGCUUUUGUGGGGUGCUCGAGUGGCGAACGGGUGAGUAACACGUGAGUAACCUGCCCUUGACUUUGGGAUAACUUCGGGAAACUGGGGCUAAUACCGGAUAGGAGCUCCUGCUGCAUGGUGGGGGUUGGAAAGUUUCGGCGGUUGGGGAUGGACUCGCGGCUUAUCAGCUUGUUGGUGGGGUAGUGGCUUACCAAGGCUUUGACGGGUAGCCGGCCUGAGAGGGUGACCGGCCACAUUGGGACUGAGAUACGGCCCAGACUCCUACGGGAGGCAGCAGUGGGGAAUAUUGCACAAUGGGCGGAAGCCUGAUGCAGCAACGCCGCGUGCGGGAUGACGGCCUUCGGGUUGUAAACCGCUUUCGCCUGUGACGAAGCGUGAGUGACGGUAAUGGGUAAAGAAGCACCGGCUAACUACGUG
rnacentral:rRNA from 1 species